AGCUGACAGGACGGCGUGCAGGAGCUGAGAGGAGGUCGUCUUGGGUCAGGGUGGCCCUGCGUCCAGUGACAGUGUCCUGAGAAGGGACAGAAGAGGAGACGCAGACCCGGAGGAGAAGCCACGUGGAGACGGAGGCAGAGACGGCGGGGGGACGCGGCCACCAGCCCAGGGACGCCUGGAGCCCCCCCCAGGAGCUGGAAGAGGCGGGAAGGACCCUCCCCGCAGCCUGUGGAGGGAGCACGGCCCCAGGACCCCUGGACCUCAGACGCCUGGUCUCCAGGACGGGGGAGGGUGAAUGUCUGUGGUUUGAG